rnacentral:ncRNA from 2 species
CUAGAGUGGCGCCGUUCGGGUGUCCCGACCGGCGGUCGCUGGAAAGGAUGAAACGGGAAGCCGGUGCGUCGCCUCGCGACUAUUCCGGCACUGCCCCCGCAACGGUAAGCGACAGGAAGGCCUGAAGGUCUUUACGGGAACCGGCCAAACGCCACUGCGCAAGCGGGAAGGCGCCGGGUCCCGCCACGGCAGGUGGCUGACGCAAGUCCGGAGACCGGCCCGAUGCAUUCGCCUCGC